UACGAAGGGGGCUAGCGUUAUCCGGAAUUAUUGGGCGUAAAGAGCUCGUAGGCGGUUUGUCACGUCUGCUGUGAAAACUGGAGGCUCAACCUCCAGCCUGCAGUGGGUACGGGCAGACUAGAGUGCGGUAGGGGAGAUUGGAAUUCCUGGUGUAGCGGUGGAAUGCGCAGAUAUCAGGAGGAACACCGAUGGCGAAGGCAGAUCUCUGGGCCGUAACUGACGCUGAGGAGCGAAAGCAUGGGGAGCGAACAGG
rnacentral:rRNA from 1 species